rnacentral:rRNA from 1 species
GACGAACGCUGGCGGCGCGCUUAACACAUGCAAGUCGAACGGAAAGGCCUGCUUUCCCUUGUGGAUUGCGGGUACUCGAGUGGCGAACGGGUGAGUAACACGUGAGUGAUCUGCCCCCAACUUGGGUAUAAGCCUGGGAAACUGGGUCUAAUUCCCGAUAGGACUGCAGGGUGGUGCCUGUGGUGGAAAACGAUUUUCUAGUGGUUGGGGAUGAGCUCGCGGCCUAUCAGCUUGUUGGUGGGGUAAUGGCCUACCAAGGCGGCGACGGGUAGCCGGCCGGGGAGGGUGGACGGCCACAUUGGGACUGAGAUACGGCCCAGACUCCUACGGGAGGCAGCAGUGGGGAAUAUUGCACAAUGGGCGGAAGCCUGAUGCAGCGACGCCGCGUGGGGGAUGACGGCCUUCGGGUUGUAAACUCCUUUCGACCGCGAGGAAGCCACCUGGUUGGAAGGGUGGUGACGGUAGUGGUAGAAGAAGCACCGGCUAACUACGU